AGCUCUGUAAGCGUAUACCAAAGUUGUUGCAGUUAAAACGCUCGUAGUCGUAUAUUGGCGGGCAUGCCGGGGCGUCCUCGCGGACGUGCUCGGUGUGGCCGCCUUUGUGGAGGGGGGCUGCGUGGUGCUUCACUGCAUUGCGUGGUCGCUGCCACCGUUUACUGUGAAAAAAUUAGAGUGUUCAAAGCGGGCGAUUGCCAUGAAUACAUUAGCAUGGAAUAAUAGAAUAGGACUUGGUCUUAUUUUGUUGGUUUGUUGAGAUCAGGUAAUGAUUAAGAGGGACGGUUGGGGGCAUUUGUAUUCCGACGUCAGAGGUGAAAUUCUUGGAUUGCCGGAAGACAAACAGCUGCGAAAGCGUCUGCCAAGGACGUUUUCAU
rnacentral:rRNA from 1 species